CUCAUGAAGCACACCACUGAGUUCUCAUUCUCAUUUUUCUCUGCUCUCUUCACUGGAUUUUUCUUCUUGUGUUGCUGCCUCUUCCCUCACCCUUACUGCGUUCCAAACCUCGCAAGAGCCAAGGUAUUGCCACCUCCAUUCAAUUGAUUUUCACCUUUCCUAAUUGUCCCAAUCAGGAACUGUUGCUGCCGGUUAGUGGGUCAUCGAUGAGCAUCGGAAUUAUCCAAGACCUGAACUUAAAAUCUUUGUUUUCUUAACAGAG
rnacentral:lncRNA from 1 species